rnacentral:rRNA from 1 species
UGGGGAAUUUUGGACAAUGGGCGAAAGCCUGAUCCAGCAAUGCCGCGUGUGUGAAGAAGGCCUUCGGGUUGUAAAGCACUUUUGUCCGGAAAGAAAUCCUCUGGGUUAAUACCUCGGGGGGAUGACGGUACCGGAAGAAUAAGCACCGGCUAACUACGUGCCAGCAGCCGCGGUAAUACGUAGGGUGCAAGCGUUAAUCGGAAUUACUGGGCGUAAAGCGUGCGCAGGCGGUUUUGUAAGACGGAUGUGAAAUCCCCGGGCUUAACCUGGGAACUGCAUUCGUGACUGCAAGGCUAGAGUAUGGCAGAGGGGGGUAGAAUUCCACGUGUAGCAGUGAAAUGCGUAGAGAUGUGGAGGAAUACCGAUGGCGAAGGCAGCCCCCUGGGCCAAUACUGACGCUCAUGCACGAAAGCGUGGGGAGCAAAACAGGAUUAGAUACCCUGGUAGUCCACGCCCUAAACGAUGUCAACUAGUUGUUGGGGAUUCAUUUCCUUAGUAACGUAGCUAACGCGUGAAGUUGACCGCCUGGGGAGUACGGUCGCAAAGAUUAAAACUUAAAUGAAUUGACGGGGUCAUAGCUGUUUCCU